GACGAACGCGGCGGCGUGCUUAACACAUGCAAGUCGAACGAAGAGCGAUGGAAGCUUGCUUCUAUCAAUCUUAGUGGCGAACGGGUGAGUAACGCGUAAUCAACCUGCCCUUCAGAGGGGGACAACAGUUGGAAACGACUGCUAAUACCGCAUACGAUCUAAUCUCGGCAUCGAGGAUAGAUGAAAGGUGGCCUCUACAUGUAAGCUAUCACUGAAGGAGGGGAUUGCGUCUGAUUAGCUAGUUGGAGGGGUAACGGCCCACCAAGGCGAUGAUCAGUAGCCGGUCUGAGAGGAUGAACGGCCACAUUGGGACUGAGACACGGCCCAGACUCCUACGGGAGGCAGCAGUGGGGAAUCUUCCGCAAUGGACGAAAGUCUGACGGAGCAACGCCGCGUGAGUGAUGACGGCCUUCGGGUUGUAAAGCUCUGUUAAUCGGGACGAAAGGCCUUCUUGCGAAUAGUGAGAA
rnacentral:rRNA from 1 species